rnacentral:rRNA from 1 species
AGUGAACGCUGGCGGUAGGCCUAACACAUGCAAGUCGAACGGCAGCACAGUAAGAGCUUGCUCUUACGGGUGGCGAGUGGCGGACGGGUGAGGAAUACAUCGGAAUCUACUUUUUCGUGGGGGAUCACUUAGGGAAACUUACGCUAAUACCGCAUACGACCUACGGGUGAAAGCAGGGGAUCUUCGGACCUUGCGCGAUUGUAUGAGCCGAUGUCGGAUUCGCUAGUUGGCGGGGUAAAGGCCCACCAAGGCGACGAUCCGUAGCUGGUCUGAGAGGAUGAUCAGCCACACUGGGACUGAGACACGGUACAGACUCCUACGGGAGGCAGCAGUGGGGAAUAUUGGACAAAGGGCGCAAGCCUGAUCCAGCCAUACCGCGUGGGUGAAGAAGGCCUUCGGGUUGUAAAGCCCUUUUGUUGGGAAAGAAAAGCAGCAGGUUAAUAACCCGGUGUUAUGACGGUACCCAAAGAAUAAGCACCGGCUAACUUAGUG